AAGUAUUUGAAUUUGAUUUUGUUUUCAUUAGAAAAGUUGCAUGGAUCAUGGUGCUUAAAUGAAUUUUUUCAUCAACCUAUUUUAACUUUUUAUUUCUGAUUAUAUGUGACAUUUCUUAAAAUGUUUGUGUUCCUCAUGACAGAAAGAUAUUUUACUUGAAUUUAUUUACUUUUAUCUUAUAUGCAUUAGUUGUUGUUGUUGACAUCUCAGUAAUUAGGCCUCUGAUGGAUUAUUGUCUCCUUAUUUUCAUAUUUAAAUUUAAUUUUACAUUUUAAAGGCAUUAUUUUUUUGUUCUCUAUAUUGUGUUCAAAGAUUUCAAUCAGCAUUUAUUCAAACACUCCAAUCUCUAUAAAAUGAUUUAACAAAUUGUUAUUAAUGUAUAUUAUAUCAAUGUGCUUUUCUGUAGGACUUCAAAGGUCUCUCAAAUCAAAACACAAGUUGCCAUUUUUUUCAGAUUGGGAUUAGUAUGCACUCAUUGCACAACUACUGAAUGAGUGGAAAAAGUUUUUAAAACAUUUCGGUAGACAAACUGUGUUUUUUCCAAUUUAUGCAUAAAUAAAAAAAAUAAAAAAUUUCAAAGCAAAGCAGAUUUUGUAAGUAAGGUUUAUAUAUAUUUACUAACAGUACAUUAUGAUUUAACAUACUUUUGGCUGUUAACAAUUUCGAAUAUUCAGUAGCACUAAAUUUUUUUAUUAGUUUAAUCAUAUUUUCAGAUUAUUUUAGAAUUGUUUUUUUGCAAUAUUUAAUGAUAUUCUUUACUGUGGCCUUAUUGGUUCCUUUUUAUGUUAUUGUGCUAUUUUUAUUAUUUGUUAUCUAUAAUUUUUCUAUAGUUUCUAGUCACUGGCAUUCAAUUUUGCACUCAUUUCAUCCGUCCAGUGUCUUUUAGAUAAAUAUGUUUAAUAGUAUUGUUUUGCUAACAAAAACUUGUGACACCAAUCUUCACUAAUUGAGCAGAGCUUGUAACCCUUUUAGAGCACCAGAGUUAUGACCCAUAUUGUUUUGAGUUGAUCAAGUGGUUGUUUGACUCUUUUCUUCACUUUAUAAUUUCAAUUGAUCAAGAUUAAGUUAAUAAAGAGUAUUAGGAAGCACUAUCUGUCAGAUUACUGCUCUGUAGUGUCAAAUUUGCCAUUUGUAAGCUAUUACCAACUCUUUCAAAGAAAACUAAUCUGUAUUAUCACUUGGUAAAUUGCAUUUAAUUUCAGUUCUCAUAAUUUAUUUAAAUGAUAUGAACCUCCAAAAAAUGAACAACUAACUUGUUUUGUAGUUCAAAAAAUUAUGACUCCAGCUCCUCAAUUUUUUUACAGAAGAAACAGGCAAUUCAUUAUCACUGAACUAGUAUAUAUUUGUUCAGGGGCUAGCUGAAGGACGCAUUCUCAAUUUUAAUUUUAAUGAAAAGGUCUGACCUGGUUAUUUUUUUGUCUUUAAACAUAUAGAUCUGUACAUUGAUGUUACUCAAUUUUAAAUUAUUGGAAGAUUUGUAUUUUUACAGGAAAUAUUUAUUUACUAUUUUGGGACCAACCAUCUUAUUCCUUUAUGCAUCUUAAUUGUUGUAAUUUCAUCAUUUCAUUGCAAAAUAUUUGUACGUUUAAAUGUAAUUCUCAGCUGUUUCAUAAAUAAAGGCAUAAUGCCUUUUCAAUUAAUUGACAGGAAGGCCAAUAGUAAUCAGCUUGUCUAUCCUUCUGUUGUUUCAAAUCAACAAAUCAGUUUUAAAGUUUGGUAAUUUAUUUAAAACUUUGCUGGACUAAAUUAUUAUAAAUCUUUAACCUUGUUUACAGUUCUGUCUGCAGUAAGUUUCAUUUGAUGUUCACAUUUUACCUGCAAUACUGUAAAUUCAGAAAUUAUUGCGAUUUUGUCAUUUUAGACUUAAAUGUGAUUUUAAUUUUUACGAUUUAGAGAAAAAUCCUGUUUAGUUCAUAUAAAAUAUUUCAAAAUGCGAGUUUAAAUUAUUGCGUUUACAACUCUGUUGCAUUUUUUGCAAUAAUUUCUGAAUUUACAGUACAUAUUUCUUAAACCUGUAUCACUUUAAGAGAAAAUGUGAAAAAAAAAUUAAUUCCAUGACUGAUAUUAAACUUUUGGGUGGAAUCUAUGAAUUAUAUAAACUAUUUUAAAGUGGCAUUGGCACUUGUGCAAAGUUGAAUUUUUUAUUUAAAGAUUAUUAGAUUUUUUGUUGUAUGAAGAUAUCACCAUAGAAUAUAUUUUUUGUUUGUACAUUAACUAUUCUCCAUUCUGAAAAAGAAUGUUUCAAAAUUGUAGGUCUUGUUUAUCUUAGAUGCAUAGAUAAGUUUUAAGUAAAAAGGAUAUGUAAUUCAUAGAUAGUAUGUAUGUAGAACACUCACAUGUUUGGUUGGUUUUUUUUUUCUUCAAAAGUUGUAAUGUGUUUAUGUAAUUUAUGUAGCUUUGACAUUCCAAAUAAUAAUAAGAUAUUCUUCUUUCCAAUUUGUUUUAGAAGAUUCUACUAUAAAUAGCUUCAUAAUUGAAUGUACCUGGCGUUUUUAACACAAUAUUUUAAGUCAUACUUUUCUACAUUUUUAGCUUCUUAAGUUCAUGAUUGUUGAGAUUUACUGUUACAAGUUUGCUUUUUGUUGUGGUAACAGACUAAGUAAAAUCGUGAUUGACUCUUGAAGUUAAGGACAUCAAAAUAAUUUAGUUUGUUAUGAUAAAGAUAAAUGACUUACUGCAUUUUUAGUUUGCAUUAUAAUGGUGAACAGAAAGACCAGCUUAUUAGGUCUUUCCACCUUUCCGUGGAAAGACCUAUUGAAUUUGUUCUGAUUAUUAUUAUUAUUAUUAUUUUUUUUUUUUUUUUCUUCCGCCUAAUUUUUUUUCUUGCGUAUUAUUGAUGUUUCAAAAGAUGUCGCUUAGAUAUUUGGAAUAUGGUAUCGUAUAGUUUAUACGCUUUAAAACUUUACAACUGUGUAACAAAAUACUUUACGUUGUAAGAGUUAUCUCCCCAAACACUGUUUUUCUUGUGGCCACUACUCCUUCACAACCGUUAAAGAUUACGACAAAUUUAUUUUACCAAAUUGCUCGUUACAUCUUCAGGAUUAGGAUAUUCAUUUGGACCGAAGCUUUACGGAGACUCCAUAUGAGAGUUAUUCCCCCUUUUCCAUUUAAUUAAGUGAUAUGCAUUUCUAAAUGGUAAACCAUAAGUGAUAAAGACAUAGGGUCUUUAGAUUUGGGGUCCUUGGUCGAAAAUAAUAAAAAUGAGGUCAAGGUCAAAGGUCAAGGUCAUAUUUUAAAUUUUGAUUUUGGCUUAUUUUCAUUUAUUUUCAAAUACCUUAUGACAUAUCGACAAAUAAUUUUUCAUAAAUUGUUAGUUGCGACAUGUCCUUACUUGUAUAUUUUGAUUGAAAGGGUGCGCAGACAAGAAAUGGGAGUUUUUGCCCAUCUUACAUUUAGAAUUACGCGUAAAGUGAUAUUACUAAUAAACCAAACAUAUUAAAGACCUUGGGUCUUUUGAUUUAAGGUCCUUGGUUUGUGAACUUGAAAUUGAGGUCAAGGUCAUAGGUUGAUAUGACGUUCUAGAUUUUGACCUUUGCUUUAAAUUCAUAUAAAUACAUCAUAAAGCCAUAGGAACUAACAUUUUAAACUGAUUUUUAAUAUUUCAAUAUCAAAAUAGAUCUUUACUAGUGGAAAGACCUACAAUUGUUCUCUGAACAAUUGGUUUUUAA
rnacentral:lncRNA from 1 species